rnacentral:lncRNA from 1 species
UGCUUAUUCAAUCUGCCUUUCGUGGGUUUGAGGUCAGGAGGUGGGAACCAUUGAAGAAACUAAAGCAAAUAGCUGACAUUCGUGAGCAGGUUGCUGAUAUUCGUAAUCGUAUCUCCACUUUAGAGACUUCUGAUCUCCAGAAAGAUGACAAGCAGAGAGUAAUAAUUGGGGAGACAAUCAUGAGACUCCUCCUCAAGUUGGAUACCAUUCAGGUAUGUACUUAAACUGGUUGAGUUAAAGACCCUUGUGCACGCACACUCGCGCACUCACAAACACGUGCAGAAAUGGACAGAUUUGCAAACCCUCAACCCUCAUGUUAUAGUGUUCGUUUAAAAGUAAUUGAUGUAUGUAGUUUAUGCUUAGAUGAUUCUCCGUCGUAGCAAUGAAAGAGGCACCUGAAUCUAAAAGUUUCUAGAUUGUGGGAUUUGUUUUAAAACUAUGCUGUUCUGGUUGCGUAUUUGGUGGUUGUUCAACAGGGUUUGCUUCCAAGCCUCAGAGACAUUAGAAGAUCCUUGGCAAGGGAGCUCGUAGUUCUGCAGGAAAAGCUUGACGAGCUCGGUGAGAACACCAACAACGGUAACUGCAUGCUAGAGCAGCAAAGAGAGGACGUGACUGGACUUGGUGAAGGAUUGCCUGAUGGUGUCAGUGAUAGCAGUCAUCAUGGUACAGACCAUUGUCAAGGGGAAGUGCUUCAGAAUGUUGAACCUGAGCCUGGUUUGAGAGCCAAGGAACCAGGCCAUUGUAAUCAUAGAGAGUUGCACGCCGCAGCAGAGGAUGGUGAUCAAGAGCUACAGGUGGAAAGUUGCUUAAAGUCUGAAGAUAAUGGUUUUGCGCCCAUUGUGGAAACAAAAGAUGAUGUGGUUGGUGAACAGUCUACUGGAGAUAUGGCGGUGGGAGAUGCAGAAAUGAAGAAUGGUUUUACUCAGCCUGGGCAAUGCAGUGAAGCACCAUCUCUAAUAGAAGGAAACCAUACUCUGACAGGAAACUCUUCCGAAGCUGUUAAUAUAAACGUAGAGACAAGAGAGCCUGGAGAGUUGCCUCGAGGAGUAACUGAUGACGAACCUGCCAUUUUGGAGCCUGGGAAGGAUGAACAAGUGGAAGUGUUGCCGGAUGUGACUCCACCAAAUGCUUGUGCUUGUGUGAUGGAAAAGGACUUAGAGAUGCAAGAGAUAGCAGAACUGUCACGGGGCAUGAUUGAUGAGUACAAUGCACUUACCGAAUCUACCAUUUUGGAGCCUAAAAUCGUUGAACAAGUAGAACUGUUGCCAGAUGUGACUUCAUCAAAUGCUUGUGCUUAUGUGACGGAAAAGGAAGCAGAGAUGCAAGAGCUAGCAGAACUGCCACGGGGCAUGACUGAUGAGCACAAUGCACUUAAUGAGUCCAAGGAAAUUGAAGAAGUCGGAGUGGUGAAGGAAGAUGAUUCCCUACAAAGUGGAGAAGAACAUCAUGUGGCAUUUGAUGUAACUUCACAACCGGAUGGAACUUCAAAUACGGAUCAAUUAGAGCAACGACGAGAGGGAGCAGGGGAAGAGCAACCUGUUGUCCGUUUUGAGCAGCAGGUAGAGAUUGGAUCUCAGGAGGAUGAAGGACGCCCUUCAGAUUCAGUGCUUGAUUUAGAGG